rnacentral:rRNA from 1 species
ACGAACGCUGGCGGCGUGCCUAAUACAUGCAAGUCGAACGAGCUCUCCCAAAUUGAUUUUAUGCUUGCAUAAAUGAUUUUUGGAUUCGGAGCGAGUGGCGAACUGGUGAGUAACACGUGGGUAACCUGCCCCGAAGCGGGGGAUAACAUUUGGAAACAAGUGCUAAUACCGCAUAAUUAGUUGGAACCGCAUGGUUCCAACUUGAAAGAUGGCUCUGCUAUCACUUUGGGAUGGACCCGCGCCGUAUUAGUUAGUUGGUGAGAUAAAAGCCCACCAAGACGAUGAUACGUAGCCGACCUGAGAGGGUAAUCGGCCACAUUGGGACUGAGACACGGCCCAGACUCCUACGGGAGGCAGCAGUAGGGAAUCUUCCACAAUGGACGAAAGUCUGAUGGAGCAACGCCGCGUGAGUGAUGAAGGUUUUCGGAUCGUAAAACUCUGUUGUUAAAGAAGAACAAGUGUUAGAGUAACUGUUAACACUUUGACGGUAUUUAACCAGAAAGCCACGGCUAACUACGUGCCAGCAGCCGCGGUAAUACGUAGGUGGCAAGCGUUGUCCGGAUUUAUUGGGCGUAAAGCGAGCGCAGGCGGUUUUGUAAGUCUGCUGUGAAAGCCCUCAGCUCAACUGAGGAAGUGCAGUGGAAACUACAAAACUUGAGUACAGAAGAGGAAAGUGGAACUCCAUGUGUAGCGGUGAAAUGCGUAGAUAUAUGGGAAGAACACCAGUGGCGAAGGCGGCUUUCUGGUCUGUUACUGACGCUGAGGCUCGAAAGCAUGGGUAGCGAACAGGAUUAGAUACCCUGGUAGUCCCAUGCCGUAAACGAUGAAUACUAGGUGUUGGAGGGUUUCCGCCCUUCAGUGCCGCAGCUAACGCAUUAAGUAUUCCGCCUGGGGAGUACGACCGCAAGGUUGAAACUCAAAGGAAUUGACGGGGGCCCGCACAAGUGGUGGAGCAUGUGGUUUAAUUCGAUGCUACGCGAAGAACCUUACCAGCUCUUGACAUCUUCUGCCAACCCAAGAGAUUGGGCGUUCCCUUCGGGGACAGAAUGACAGGUGGUGCAUGGUUGUCGUCAGCUCGUGUCGUGAGAUGUUGGGUUAAGUCCCGCAACGAGCGCAACCCUUAUUAUUAGUUGCCAGCAUUUAGUUGGGCACUCUAGUGAGACUGCCGGUGAUAAACCGGAGGAAGGUGGGGACGACGUCAAAUCAUCAUGCCCCUUAUGAGCUGGGCUACACACGUGCUACAAUGGAUGGUACAACGAGUCGCGAAACCGCGAGGUCAAGCUAAUCUCUUAAAGCCAUUCUCAGUUCGGAUUGCAGGCUGCAACUCGCCUGCAUGAAGUUGGAAUCACUAGUAAUCGUGGAUCAGCAUGCCACGGUGAAUACGUUCCCGGGCCUUGUACACACCGCCCGUCAAG